rnacentral:tRNA from 1 species
GGCUCUGUGGCACAAUGGAUAGCGUGUAGGACUUCUAAUUCAAAGGUUGUGGGUUCGAGUCCCACCAGAGUCG